rnacentral:misc_RNA from 1 species
GAUUCAACACAAAUGAGAAGGGAGUCGUUUGCAGCUGUGCUGGCCUCCGACAAAGGGGUAUGUGCACGCUUGGCUUCUCCUUUUCUUCAUUUACACACCUGUGAACCUGUUUGUAGGGUGUCUCGCAAGGGAUGCUCUAUGUCUUUUUUAUAUACACCAUUGUAUGUUUAUAGAAUGUAUCUUUUUGCUCUCGUCAGAGACAAAAGUAAAGCCUUUAUAACUUUCAGCAACGGAUCUCUUGGCUCU